CCUACGGGUGGCUGCAGUGGGGAAUAUUGGACAAUGGGCGAAAGCCUGAUCCAGCCAUGCCGCGUGUGUGAAGAAGGCCUUCGGGUUGUAAAGCACUUUCAGUGGGGAAGAAAGCCUUGGGGCUAAUACCCUCGAGGAAGGACAUCACCCACAGAAGAAGCACCGGCUAACUCCGUGCCAGCAGCCGCGGUAAUACGGAGGGUGCGAGCGUUAAUCGGAAUUACUGGGCGUAAAGCGCGCGUAGGCGGUCUGAUAAGCCGGUUGUGAAAGCCCCGGGCUCAACCUGGGAACGGCAUCCGGAACUGUCAGGCUAGAGUGCAGGAGAGGAAGGUAGAAUUCCCGGUGUAGCGGUGAAAUGCGUAGAGAUCGGGAGGAAUACCAGUUGCGAAGGCGGCCUUCUGGACUGACACUGACGCUGAGGUGCGAAAGCGUGGGUAGCAAACAGGAUUAGAUACCCUAGUAGUC
rnacentral:rRNA from 1 species